CAAACACACUGGCUCCAGUUGAGUGAUCCAGUCUGGGAAGCACAUUGUGGUAAUGAGACAAGUUACUCAACUCUGAAGAGCCUCUUUCCUUCCUGCCAGCCUUGGGAGCUUCUCCUGAUAGGAUGGAAGUGAGAAAAAUUAAAAUCAAAGCAAGGAGUUCAUGAUUGCUGCUGGCAAGAAGAGGUGCCCACUAAGCAGAAAUGGUGAUGGUUUUAUAAACACACACAGUGAUGUGUGUCUAUGGACAGGCACAAUAACUUUGCUGCUUCUAAGCCAUGGACUUUCUCCAUCCCUCUUUGGCUUUUUUGAGACAAGGUUUCUCUGUGUCGCUCUGGCUGUUCUGAAACUCACAGUGUAGACCAGGCUGGGCUCGAAUCAGAGAAUCAUCUACCUCUGCCUCCCUAUUGUUGAGAUUAAAGACUUGUG
rnacentral:lncRNA from 1 species